AUCGUCUUUAGUGACUGUGGUCGUAAUC
rnacentral:sRNA from 1 species